UAUUAAUAAAUAAUAAUCACCGGUUUCUUGUAGGUACGAUUUCUGUUCUGUUAUACCGUACUACGACUUCGCUCGUAGAUUGGUUAAACCUACUACUGUUAGUGUACGGGUUCAGUACAUUGAUCACCAGCCUCUCAUGCGGUGUAUUACAUGUUCUGUUAUCCGAUACAGUGUGUUGCAAGUUUCCAACUUACACCUUUAAUUUUCAUAAUGCAUUUUAAGUGAUAAUGAAAAAACUGAAAGUCCGACGUAAGGUAAACAUAAGCGAUAUUCCGAGGUUUCUGUGAAGUUUGUUCGACUGGUGAUCAUGUUGGUUAUUACUUGUCAUACAAGUAAUGGUAAUAAGAAUGGUGAUUAUCAUAGCAUAUGCAGUACUGUCUUGGCAAAGAGAAAAAAGAACAAUGUACCAACCUGGCGGUGGCUGCGGUUCUGCCCCAGCCGAAUUUGGGUCGCCGUUGCCGACAGGGUUUCCGUCGGUUCCUGACGUAAAGCAGUGGCAUUCGGCCGCAUAUGCUGGUUAUUCUGCUUGUGGAUGGACACAGGAAGCAACCAACCAUUAUCCCGAUGCCGUUUCCCUGGAGUCAAUGGCCUCUGUGGUCCCCAAACAGGGCUGUGCGAAUCGGCCCAUUCCACACCAUAUCCCAGACUAUUCUAAGGGUUUUGCCAACCCUUCCCCGUAUGAACUCCACUCAACUACGCUUCCGCUAGCCAGAGAAAGCCAGUGGAAUCGUUACGUGCCCGACAGGCAGUUUAGAACGGGAGCAGCCGCCUUUUAUGUUCAGGAGCAAAUGAAAACGGUCGUGUACGGCUAUAACGCAUCGGUUGAUUACCUAUAUUUGUCAACAGACCGUCCUGUACCCGUUUCUUUACAAGCGAAGAGAUUAUCUCCAGGAACGCAGUUUACGGGCAUUAAAGGUCCAAAUGGAGUGCUUUUUCCGCGCACAAAUAAACUUCAGUUUGCAACCUUUGUGACAAACGGCGACGAAGAAGUCUCCCAGGGUUUUAAUAUCACAGUUAAGGCUAUAGAAUCCAGUCCAUCAGCCCCUUGCGGCUGGAAUGUAACGAUUAUAAGGGAGCCAGUCACGAUACAUUACCGGAAAAACAACACACAGGAAACAUUGUGCGUUUGGCACUUGUUUGCUGUGCGAGGACCUCAAACACUGCUGCGAAUCCAAGAGAUGGUUACAGAGUCGCAGACGUAUAAUGACCGAAGAAUAUACACCAGCUGCGAAGAUGACUAUUUGGAAAUCCAAGAGCAAAGCAGUGAAGUCAUCGAAAGCGCACUCGCCUAUGAUGCUGGUCAGUUUCUCCUGCGUCACGAUCGCAUUUGUCUCAACAGCACCGAAAAUAACCGAAGGAUACAUCUUCAUUUGCACCAUACAUUCCUCCUUCAGAGCGACCACAUUAUGUGUACAGGCAUCCAGAACGAAAUAGCAAAUCAGCUCAUUUAAUAUUCAAUAAUUUUAUCAGUCUGAAAAACAUUUUAUGGGCGCCGCUACUUCCGCCAUCUGGAACCACGUUUUUGUUAUUCUCAUUACGUAUCUCACCUUAGGCUAUUCCAGUUACAUUUUGUAAAAUUAAUUUUGAUACUCUCAAAAGCUGAUGCCAUGUCGUUUGCAGUUUGCGCAACUUUUACUACCAAAGCGCCUGUGGUAUUCGUACGAUGAGCAUUUUUGCACUGUUGAAUUUGGUUUGACUUCGUAAAAUCCCAUAGUAAACUGUGGGCGCUACAAAGUCCCCCUUCACUGUCUUUAACUAGCUUAUGUUGCAAGACAGGGGUUAUACUCGCUCUACAACUGCAGAUUUGAACCAGAUCACUGAAAAUUUCUGUAGCACUAUAAGAUAUAUAUACUUAAAAAGGUGGCAAUAGUGAAGAAAAUAAAUUAAGUGUCAUACGGUGAUGUUUUGGACUGACAGUCUAUCGUGGUGCAAGAAAAUAUUUCAAAAAAUGUGGUGCGAAUAGUAAAAACGUGGGUGAGUCUAGUGACAAUAGUCAAAGAUGAUAUCAAGGUGGUGAGAAUAGGCAUUUCCAAAUUUUAUUGCAGAAACUCUCUUUUCGGUCGCUGCUAAACAGCGCCACACGCGGAUUUACCGUAACCGCAGAACCGUUCUAUGCCUGCGCCACAGUGUUUUCGCAAACUAAUUUCACCGGCAUUGCAAUGAACCUCCUGGACGAAAAUACUGACAGCGAACUCAGAUCACUAAUCCAUUCGCAAUCGAUGCCGAUGAUCGGUUCUGUUCUUUUACGCAACCAUUGCGUUGUGGAGCAUGGAAGUGAUGAGAGCACAGACGUGUACUUUGUUAAUGAAACCAUCAGCGACUAUGUUGUAGCAAAUUUUUCGCAUCUCGUCCAAACUCUGAAGUGUCACUGCAUUACAGGUUCAAUCGACAACUGGAAACUUGGUGCAAUUAUUGUAACAGCAUUAAUUCUUCUCGGCACUUUCAGCGUGAUAGUAUCUGUGUGGGCAAAGCGUGUAAAGAAGAGAAAGAGGAUGUACGUCAACAGACUACAACUAAAGAGAUCCACAAGGAACUCGGACCCGAAUAUGACCAAUACAAAAUUAAAAACUGCUACCUGAAGCUAGAGCCAACAGUACUAGGGCAAGGUAAUUAUGGC